AUGGCGAUGGGUCACCUCCGUGCCUUCCUGGUUUUCCUCCUCGUGCAGGUCUGCCUGUUCUUGAUGAUGGCCGCGUCGGCGAAGGUGCAGGGCAGGGCUGUGCCCGGAGUUCCCGCGUGCUGCUCCUACCGCCCCGAGUGCUGCGAGCGCCGGCGGAAGCCCCGCUCGCCGCCGCCGUUACUCCCUGAUGGCCUCGCCUGCGGCGGCUUGUGGGGGUCGCUCUCCUCCCUAGAAAUGGAAUGUCGUGUUGUCUUGGGGCGUAAUGUCUUUUGUUCGCCCCAACAGCACAUCUGUGUCGUGUGUGUGCUUGACCGAACAAUGUCUUCCUGCUACCUCCUGGGUCGCGUCCGCGUGUCCAAGCAGAGAGCAUCGACGAGGAGGAAGGGUAGUUGGGUGAGGGCUGCUGCUUGUCUCUAUUCAUGUACCUGGGUUCCUCUACUUCACAACCUGGACAAAGACGAAGCCUGGGCUCACACUCGAUGGGCUACUUCCUCCUCGUGUUGUCGGCGCCAUCAGUGCGCGUCCUCCUCCUGUUCUCUUCUCCCGUUUUCACGUGUGAUUCUGGUUGUGGUUGCGGUGUUGGAACCAAGGAUCGACGAACAGCCGCGAGAACACGAGGAAACGAAUUUUGUCGGGCGACAAACACCCGCGACAACGGAUGCCCGCCCCGGCGACGAACGCCGGGGCCUUUUUCUCUCUGUAUUCACUUGGCUCGCCAAACAACAUGGACUAACCACUAAGCCACGCAACGCCGCGCCCCCACUCUUGCUAGCCCACCCGAUCAGCACGACCCGGCCGGCUCGCAUGACGCGCUUAUACGCGUCUGCUGCACCUGGACUUCCAACAGAACAUCAACUGCCGCAGCCUUUACACGGUGGACUCGGGUGCACACACACCAUCGCGACAGAACUUUUCCUUUACGGACGCACGCACCCCCUCCGUGGCUUAUUCCUAACAUGCGGGACCGAACUCUUGUGUGUCUCACACCGCCAAAUCUGCGGUUUUCUCUGCCCCUUUGUGCGGUUUCUUCUAUUCCCUCGCGCGAAUUGGUGGGAGGGAAAUUUCCGCUCGUGCCCGCCUUUUUGCCCCCGCCCGCGCUGCAAAUCUUCGGCAAUUUUCGCUUCCCCCGGCCACCUCCCGCCGCAGAGAGCUUCGGUUGUCCUCGUCCGCGUGUUCUCCACCAAGAUUGGAGUUCAGGGCGGCCAUUUUUUGCUGCGAGUGGGCUGCUGCCACCAUCGCCAUGGAUCCGGCCGGAAGUUGCGUGGGGCGGCUCGUUGUUGGCGGAUCCGGCUGCUCUGGCCAGGAUUGAGCCGCGCAGUCAUGGAUGAUUGGUGUUCGUCCGAAUCGGAUGAUUCUGACAUAAAGAACAUGUUUCUUGAUGACGAUGUCGCCUCCUCUUUUUCCAUCUUGUCAAAGAAUUUCAAGCCGGCAAGAAGAAGAAGCGUCGUGGAUCGUUGGUUGGUCGUCUUUCCAUUCCGUGCAACUGAGCUCUCGGCCACAAAAUGA
rnacentral:rRNA from 1 species